rnacentral:rRNA from 1 species
GACGUAGGGCGCGAGCGUUGUCCGGAUUUAUUGGGCGUAAAGGGCGCGUAGGCGGCUUCGCAAGUGGAAGGUGAAAUCCCUCGGCUUAACCGAGGAACUGCCCUCCAAACUGCGUGGCUUGAGUCCGGGAGAGGUGAGUGGAAUUCCCAGUGUAGCGGUGAAAUGCGUAGAUAUUGGGAGGAACACCAGUGGCGAAGGCGGCUCACUGGACCGGAACUGACGCUGAGGCGCGAAAGCUAGGGUAGCAAACGGG